UACGGAGGGUGCAAGCGUUGCUCGGAAUUAUUGGGCGUAAAGGGCAGGUAGGUGGUCUCGUUUGUCUGGGGUGAAAGCCUUGAGCUCAACUCAAGAAGUGCCCCAGAAACGGCGAGACUAGAGUCUUGGAGAGGGUCGUGGAAUUCCCGGUGUAGCGGUGAAAUUCGUAGAUAUCGGGAGGAACACCAGUGGCGAAGGCGGCGAUCUGGGUGGAUACUGACGCUGAGGUGCGAAAGCGUGGGGAGCAAACAGG
rnacentral:rRNA from 1 species